rnacentral:rRNA from 1 species
GUGGCCAGCCGCCGCGGUAAUACGUAAGUGGCAAGCGUUAUCCGGAAUUACUGGGCAUAAAGAGUUCGUAGGCGGUUAAUCAAGCCAAUAGUGAAAUCCACCAGCCUAACUGGUGUAAGCUAAUGGAACUGAUUAACUUGAGUACAGGAGAGGAAAGUGGAAUUCCUAGUGUAGUAGUGAAAUGCGUAGAUAUUAGGAAGAACAUCAGUAGCGAAGGCGACUUUCUGGACUGUAACUGACGCUGAGGAACGAAAGCGUGGGGAGCGAACAGGAUUAGAAACCCCAGUAGUCC